AGUGCGCGGGUGAGCCAGCCUGCGUGUGGGUGUGCGUGGCUCUACUUCUUCAUCUCGCUGUCUUUCACCAGGGAGCGUGUGCGGCUGAGAUGAAGUGUUGAGAAUUGAGGAGAGACAGAGAGACAGACAGACAGACACACAAGUGGUCUCAGAUGAACGCAGAAGGUGGCGAGAAAGAACAACAAGAACAACAGGAACAACAACAACAACAACAACAACAACUUGGCGAGGCUAAGAGAGUGAGUCGGAAAAGAAUGGACAAACUUAUAAUAGUCACACACUAUAAGAAGCGAAAGAGGUAAACAUUCCAUUAAUCCUCUUACUCCUCUUCCUCUUCUUCCUCUUCCAAUCUCCCACUUCACUCCUUCUUCCUAGUGACUCUGGCCAACACUGUAGAACUGUAGGAAUGACCACUGGCGUUCUCUUAGCGUGUUCUGUGCAGUGUUGAAGAAAGGCAGUGAUGGACAACUAAGGGCAUUGUCUCCAGACGCUCAAUGAUAUACCUGCUCCAGUGAUGUUUGUUUUAAGAUUUGCACCGUAAUGAAGAGUAAUCGUAUUUUCGUAUCUAUGCACUAAAACUAUGCAGACUUUGAUUAACACUCAUCAGAAACGUGUGAUAUUCCAAAAUACGUAGAAAUUGUAAAGAAGUGAAGCGUUUUUUUCUUUAUGCAAGCGAUACUUAUUAGAAACUUGCACGUGAUACUUCAAAAAAAUACACAGAAAUGAAAGUAUAAAGAUCUGAUCCAAUUUUUUUUUAUAUGCAAACUAAGCUCAUUAGAAACUAUACUCUCAAAAAGUAUCGAGAUGGAAGAAUGAAGUAUUGACACACAUUCUUUUUAUAUGCAAACCAGAAAGUGCCAAAGAUAGAGAAGAUUGUGCAUUUCAUUUUCUAUUGGAAGUUUUUUCAAGCAAAGCGACGCUCUACUGUGGCCUUCUGAACCCGACACCCAGACGUGAUGAGACGUGUAUAACCAAAAGGGGACCCGUGUGUAUAAUAUUUCCUGUAUUUUGUAUAAUUACGUACAGGAAAAUCCCUCCUUUCCCUUCCCCUUUUCCUCUCUCAUGGCUGGAGGAAAAAAAUCACAAAAAAAUCACAAAAAAACAAGAGAACUGAAAGCAAGCGUGAAUCCGAGCCGUAAAACACGUGUUCGAAGCUUCACUAUCAGCAGGGGUUGCGCUUCGGGUUCAGGGCCAUAAGGCGGCGACGCUGCAUCCCAACCUUCGAAACGACAUACGAAACACACACGAAACAUUUUUACCGUCACGCUCCUGCUGUUGUUGUCGGUUCGGAGCAGCGGAACGGAGCAUACAGUGAAGCCUUUUUUUGUAAACCCGUAAUGCUUCGAAACGCUAACUAAAAAAAAAAGCAACAAAAACACGACAAAAAAGCCCUCGUUCUCAUUUUGCGAAUUGCUAGGAAGGCCAAAAACGAAAUUUACUUUGGCAGACUUGAAUGAACCUUCUCUGGCGUUACGAAAACACGGAAGCGGAACCGUCACGAACCUGUUAGUGAGCCAGUUUGCUUCCAACGACGAACGAAACACAAUUUGGAACAUUUUUUGUUAACCUAAACUUUUAAUGUCAAUGAACUCUUCCAGAGCAAAAAGAGAGAAUAAAACCAGCGCUGUGAUGAAAGACAGGAAGAUGCAAUAAGGAAGAUGAUGCGAGUGAAGAGAGAAAAAUAGGAAUAAAAAACAAAAAAAAAAAACGAAGAGCAAAACAAAAGACAAACGAAAUGGCAAGGAGAGUGACAGAAAAGUGACAAGAGAAAAAGGAUGGACUUCAAAAUAUAAAAAAAGGAAAUGGUUUGAAAAUUAGAGAAAAAAACAGGGAAGAGGAAAUGAAGUAAAAGAGAGAGAGAGAGAGAGAGAGAAAAAAGAGAGAAAGAGAGAGAAAGUGAACUGUGAAAUGCAAGAGGAUUAUAGCUCGUGAGGAAUUGGAGGAAACAAGUUCAAGGAAAGAUAAAAAGGAAAAUAUAAAGAAAAUAAGGAAAAAAACUUUGAGGAAACAUUUCUUGACUGUAUGGCUGAUGAAAACGGGACGAGAAAUAUGAGGAGACAUUGAGGAAAAGAGGAAACUUAAACUGAAAUGAAAUAAC